rnacentral:rRNA from 1 species
UACGAACCGGACAAACGUUAUUCGGAAUUACUGGGCUUAAAGGGUUUGUGGGCGGCCAUGUAAGUCAGGUGUGAAAUCCCUCGGCUCAACCGAGGAACGGCGCUUGAUACUGCAUGGCUUGAGGGAGACAGGGGUAAGCGGAACUGAUGGUGGAGCGGUGAAAUGCGUUGAUAUCAUCAGGAACACCGGUGGCGAAAGCGGCUUACUGGGUCUCUUCUGACGCUGAGGAACGAAAGCUAGGGUAGCGAACGGG